CAAAAUGCGCACCUGUUUUUCCAAAUUGAAACUGAAAGUAGACAAAAUCAUGGCAUCAUCAUGGUAUUCAAAGGUCGUUAAGUUAUUUACACUAAGUGACAAACAGCUUGUUCAACUUUCCUUGGGAAUAUCUGCUGCUGGAGCAAUGAUGGUCAUGGGGAUGUAUGGAUAUCAGAAAUAUCAUAACAAAAAUACAGAGUACACUCUGGAGUCGAUGCGCAUGCUGCAAGGUUACCCUAACCUGAACGACGUUCUAGGCGUUCCAGUGAAAUUGAGAGGCUUUCAAGCUAGUAACUCCUUCCACAGGCGCACAGACAAACAAAUCAGGAUCUAUCUACCAGUGCAAGGUGCGGUGAAGGCAGCCUCGGUCUACAGUUGGUGUUCCCUGCACGACAACACGGAUACUGGCAAACAACAAUGGCGGGUGGACCGACUCGAUCUGCAGACCGAUGUGGAAGGUAGCCUUCAACAGUGGACUAUAUUCCAGCACCCCGAAUGCAGGGAAGACCCAGACUUGGUGUUCCAGAGAGCUGAACUCAGUGAAAAGCAGGAAAUGAACUCAAUUAUUUCAUCAACCCCAGUACUUGACUCGAGUUCGAAAUCAGCAUUUGACGAACCAAAGUUGAACCCAAAAAGUUGAUGAGUGAUAGAUUGAUGUGAAUAAUUUUCAUUACCGUACUAAAUCAUGUCUUUAAUAAGGCGCAUGUUUGUACUACCCAAAUUUUAAUUCAAUAAGUUGGUUCGUGUUUUACAUGGACAGUGUACACAACCAAUUGUGUAAUAGUAGUAUGGCGACCGAUUUGACAUUUUACUUUACUAGAAAAUUAUUUUUUUCUAUUUUGGCAUUUUUGAAAUCCGAUGGGCAUUAUAAGUUAACAAAUUGUUAAUGUAUUUACAAAACACUUUGUGACAAUAUUUGUUCCUAUUUUUUUUAAGCUCGACUUUUGAACGAAAAGGCCGUGAGUUUUACUUGCUUGGGCAUUAUUGUUUAUGUUUAUAACCUGCCUUGUGACUUGUAUGUUAUGAACUACAAGUUAUAUUUUUAGUAGUUGUUUUUACAAAAGCAACAUGAGACACCUUAAAUAUAUAGAAUACAAUUGUAUUUAAAAGGUUAAACACAUUAACGCCUUUCAAAUACAAUUACACAUGUAUUUUAUCCCAUCUUCACUGCGCAAUUGACAACCCAUAUAACCCGUAUAACAACCCAUGUUUUAGACUAGCCUCUAUCCCACGUUGUUGAAUAAACCUGUGGCGUGCACAGACAAAUGACGUCAUUAAUAAACAAACAAUCGUU